UUCUGCGCUUGUUUUCAGCAUUUUAGGUUGGGAAAUGAACGAUAUAACACCUCGAUAAUCAGAUUUCAAAUAUGUUCAGAAUAAUAUCCCAAGGGGAUGUCAAAAUGUUCAAAAUAAUAUCUCAAGGUGACGUUAAAGAUGUCUCGGACUAGAAAGAUAUCAUACGUAGAACGGUGGACAUGAAGGUUCUUACCCCCUUGAAACAUAUCAUACGUAGAACCGUGGACAGGAAGUUACAUACCCCCUUGAAAGAUAUCUUACGUAGAACUUUGGACAGGAAGGUUCAUAUCCCCCUUGAAAGAUGACUCACGUAGAACUGUCGACAGGAAGGUCCAUACCCUCUUGAAAGAUAUCUUACGUAGAACUGUGGACAGGAAGAAACAUCCCCCCCUUGAAAGAUAUCUUACGUAGAACAGUGGACAGGAAGGUUCAUACCCCCUUGAAAGAUAUCAUACGUAGAACUGUGGACAGGAAGGUUCAUAUCCCCCUUGAAAGAUGACUCACGUAGAACUGUCGACAGGAAGGUCCAUACCCUCUUGAAAGAUAUCUUACGUAGAUCUGUGGACAGGAAGGUUCAUACCCCCUUGAAAGAUAUUAUACGUAGAACUGUGGACAGGAAGGUACAUACCCCCCCUUGAAACAUGUCUCACGUAGAGCUGCCGGCAGGAAGCUUCAUCUCCCCCCUCCCCCGAAAGAUGUUUUAUGCAGAGUUGUUGGCAGGAAAAUUCAUACCCCCCUUUUCAAGUGCCACAAAAAACUCCUCUCAACAACAAGUUACUUGUUGGUUUCGAGAUGUGUUAUAAGCUACUUUCUAAUAAAAAAAAGAAUUUUAAAGUUGCGAAAAGCACUUUAUUUCAGAAAGGUCGACGUUUCGAUGUGCUAGAGCAGCUCUCACAUAGAUCGAAACAUCGAUUCGGAACGACGAAAUUUACAUAGAUAAAGUCCACUGAACUUAGAAGGCACUACUUAGUAUUUACCCUAACAUUGGGAUCACUAAGGUAUGAUAUCUUUCUCUGACGCCAUCUACACGUGAUACUCUUUGAUAUAAGCUAAACAGUUGAACGAUCUUACACAAAUACAGACACACAGACAGAUACAGCCAGGAUUUUUUGGUUGAUUUUUAUUUCUUCCCCAUUUUAACUCGGCAAACAAAUUAUUUUUCUGUUGCUAAACCUUAUAGAAUAUUAUAACUAACGUAUAAGUAGUGGUUGUUAUUUUAACUUAUCUUUCCGGUUGUGUAAUUUUUGAAUAAAAUAAAAUAAGAAUGAGUAAGUGAAAUUUGGUGAUACAUAGAGUUUGUGUGUAACUAGAUAACUAAGUCCUUCCAAAUGUUGUAUACAACUCCGUUUCGUUUGUAAGUUGAAAGAUAAUAGAGCAUUGUAAGAAAAAAUAUAGAAAUAAAGCUGCUAAAAUAA